rnacentral:rRNA from 1 species
CCCUUAGAUGUUCUGGGCCGCACGCGUGCUACACUGAAGGAAUCAGCACGUCUUUCUCCUUGUCCGAAAGGACUGGGUAACCCGCUGAACCUCCUCCGUGCUAGGGAUUGGGGCUUGUAAUUCUUCCCCAUGAACGAGGAAUUCCCAGUAAGCGCGAGUCAUAAGCUCGCGUUGAUUACGUCCCUGCCCUUUGUACACACCGCCCGUCGCUACUACCGAUUGGAUGGUUUAGUGAGAUCCUCGGAUUGGUCCCGGCGCGGCCUCUGGUCGUGCCGGAGUGCCGAAAAGAAUGUCGAACUUGAUCAUCUAGAGGAAGUAAAAGUCGUAACA